rnacentral:rRNA from 1 species
GACGAACGCUGGCGGCGUGCCUAACACAUGCAAGUCGAGCGGGGAACGGAUGGUAGCUUGCUACUGUUUGUUUCUAGCGGCGGACGGGUGAGUAACGCGUGAGCAACCUGCCUUUAUCAGGGGGAUAACGCAUCGAAAGAUGUGCUAAUACCGCGUAAGGCCACAGCUUCACAUGGAGCGGGGGUCAAAGGAGCAAUCCGGAUAAAGAUGGGCUCGCGUCCGAUUAGCUAGUUGGUGAGAUAACAGCCCACCAAGGCGACGAUCGGUAGCCGACCUGAGAGGGUGAUCGGCCACAUUGGAACUGAGAGACGGUCCAGACUCCUACGGGAGGCAGCAGUGGGGAAUAUUGGGCAAUGGGCGAAAGCCUGACCCAGCAACGCCGCGUGAGGGAAGAAGGGUUUCGGCUCGUAAACCUCUGUCCUAUGGGACGAAGGAAGUGACGGUACCAUAGGAGGAAGCCCCGGCUAA